GACGAACGCUGGCGGCGUGCCUAAUACAUGCAAGUAGAACGCUGAAGGAGGAGCUUGCUUCUCCGGAUGAGUUGCGAACGGGUGAGUAACGCGUAGGUAACCUGCCUGGUAGCGGGGGAUAACUAUUGGAAACGAUAGCUAAUACCGCAUAACAGUAGAUGUUGCAUGACAUUUGCUUAAAAGGUGCAAUUGCAUCACUACCAGAUGGACCUGCGUUGUAUUAGCUAGUUGGUGAGGUAACGGCUCACCAAGGCGACGAUACAUAGCCGACCUGAGAGGGUGAUCGGCCACACUGGGACUGAGACACGGCCCAGACUCCUACGGGAGGCAGCAGUAGGGAAUCUUCGGCAAUGGACGGAAGUCUGACCGAGCAACGCCGCGUGAGUGAAGAAGGUUUUCGGAUCGUAAAGCUCUGUUGUAAGAGAAGAACGGGUGUGAGAGUGGAAAGUGCACACUGUGACGGUAUCUUACAAGAAAGGGACGGCUAACUACGU
rnacentral:rRNA from 1 species